rnacentral:rRNA from 1 species
AAUGGACGAAAGUCUGAACCAGCCAUGCCGCGUGCAGGAUGACUGCCUAUGGGUUGUAAACUGCUUUUAUAUAGGAAGAAAACUUUCUCGUGAGAAAGCUUGACGGUACUAUAAGAAUAAGGAUCGGCUAACUCCGUGCCAGCGGCCGCGGUAAUACGGAGGAUCCAAGCGUUAUCCGGAAUCAUUGGGUUUAAAGGGUCCGUAGGUGGACAAAUAAGUCAGAGGUGAAAUCCUGCAGCUCAACUGUAGAACUGCCUUUGAUACUGUUUGUCUUGAGUUAUUAUGAAGUGGUUAGAAUGUGUAGUGUAGCGGUGAAAUGCAUAGAUAUUACACAGAAUACCGAUUGCGAAGGCAGAUCACUAAUAAUCAACUGACACUGAUGGACGAAAGCGUGGGUAGCGAACAGGAUU